rnacentral:lncRNA from 1 species
GGGGAAGGCUGAUGAGAGGAGAAGUUCCUCUCUAGGGAUCAUUUGGGGCAAACAAAUGAGAUCCAAGGGGAGUUCCAAUAUAGGAAAUAGGAGAGAAAUCCUAGGGCCCAGGAAAUUACAGACUCAUAAUUAGCUGGUCAAAGCAAUCAAUAGUCAUGUAGAUUGUCAUUUGCUUGCAAAUUGCACACCUGGGGUCCCUUAGAAAAACUUGGCUUCAAGACUUAAGUUGCUGCUUCUGAAAGUAAUGAACAAUACUCUCUGUUCUGUUACUCAUUACAGUAUCAGUCCCCAAAUCCUUGGUCUUUGCAUUCCAACACAAAGUAAAAAGGAUUGAGCAGGGUUUUGGUUUUGGUUGCAAGUAACAGAAACCCAACGCUAAUUAAUAAACGGGAAAGUGUGUCAGUGGAAAUCUCCACAAGUCCGACGGAAAGAGAAAACUGCUUUCCCAAAGGGUGUAAGAGGAUGAAAGGCAUGUCAUCAGCUGAAUUGCAUCAGGUGUCCAUCUUGGAAUCAAUCACGGUGCCUCUUAUUAGCAAAGCCUGAGUCAUAGGAACUGGACUCUGCUACCAGAAUGAGCUGCAAGGGAGAUUCUUCCUCAGAAGCUUCAGAUAAGAACUCCACCUGGCUGACCUUUGAUUUUGGUUUUGUGAGAACUUUGGCAGAUAACCCAGGCAUGUGUCAUUUCACAUCUGCAUAAAAAGACAUGCUGAAGGAUGUUCCUUGCAGAAUGGUUAUAGAGAAAAAUGGGAAUAACCACGAUAUAAAGUAACAGUCUGCUAUUUUAGGAAGUGGAUAAAAUGGCAUUUUGACAGAUCUGGAGGGUCUUGGAUCUACCUUUCAACAUUGGCAUUACUGAUAUUAGAGUACCACCACUCACUAGCUGUGGAGAUGUAGGAAGAUUACUUAACCACUCAGAGCCUUGGUUUCCUCAUUUGUUAUGUGAAGAUGACAAUAUCAGAUGACAGUGAGAUCUGAGAUGAAUUUAACUGCCUUCAGUAGUGCUGGCCUGCUCCUGAGAGAGAGAUGAUUGAGAGGGAGGAAGUAGAGAGGAGGAAGAAGCCUUUACUCACACUCCUUGAGGAGUGAUUCAGGUGGACAGCCUGAAUUACGGGAUUUAUUGGCAGCAAGUAAGUAUUGUCUGAGUGGAUUACUGCAAAAUGCUUUAGCUGGGGAUGGCUUUGAAAACCACUCAUCAAUUACAGAUGGUACCCAGUAUAGCAGCAGGAGUACCCUUGCGGGCUUUUGUUAUCUCCGACCUCUUCCUUCAUGGGUGACCGUUCUAACCCAAAGACCUCAACUGUUCAUCAAAAACCUGCCACUCAGAACUGCAUAUCAAUUAUUAAACAAUGUCCCAUGCAGGACAGUGACUUUAAAUUAUCUUGGAAAUGAUAAAGACCAACAUUUGUCUUUGUUAACAUGCUGAGUGAUUCUGUGGUCUCUAGUCACAGGUGAAAGGAUCAGAUUUGAGAUUUCUAGACACCAGAAUCACAUUAGGGUUAAGCAAAACUCCAUCUUUUCCCAGAGAAAAUUUAGCCAGAAAUGUUGCUUAUUUGAGAUGAGAAGUAAGAUGAAGUGUUCUAACAUGGCGGAGCUUGAUAUGCAAAUGAGCCCAUCUAGGGACAGUAGGGAUUGGUAAUGUGGGUCUGUGGAUGCCUGGAAGGCUCACAGAAAGACUUCAGGAAUUCCUGAGUCUCUUCAAAGUGUAAGCAAAAUUUUGUGUGUAUUUUCUUAUUUGCAUGAUAUGGCUUGGCUGUGUCCCCACCCAAACCUUAUCUCGAAUUGUAACUCCCACAAUUCCCACAUGUCGUGGAAGGAUCCUGGUGGGAUUCAUUAUGGGGGCAGGUCUUUCCAGUGCUGUUCUCAUGAUAGUGAAUGAGUCUCACAAUAUCUGAUGGUUUUAAAAACAGGAGUUUCUUUGCACAAGCUCUCUUUCUACCGCUGCCUCCAUGUAAGAUGUGACUUGCUCCUCCUUGCCUUCCACCAUGAUUGUGAGGCCUCCCCAUCCACGUGGAACUGCGAGGCCAAUUGAACUCCUUUCUUUUGUAAAUUGUCCAGUCUCAGGUAUGUCUUUAUCAGCAGUGUGAAAAUGGGCUAAUACAGUGCAUUUAUUUUUUUGAAGCAUGUCCAUACUUUCCAUUGGAUUCUCAAAGGGAUUCAGGACCUGGAAACUUUUUGAAAUACUGCUCCAUAGUAAAUGGCACAAAUCUCUCUGAAUCAAGGAUGUCUCUAGCCUUAGGCAAAGCUAGGUUGAAGGACAGAACAGAGAGUCAGCCUCUGGAGUGCCCUCUAUAAGGAAAAAGAAAACAUUACUAGAGUAAGUUGAUAAAGUAUAAAUUCAUCUCACUCCUACUGGACACUGCCCUUGAGUGAAAUUAAAAACUGAAAAAUUUUUGACAUAUCUUUUGAGCAUUUUUGUAAAAUACGCAUGUAGCUAUGGCCAAAAUUCUGGAAUAAAAUGGUACAUAUAGCCUUAGGUAUCCUGGCUCUGUUUCUUAAAGGAGUCAUAUUUACAGAAUUGCAGUUGUCCAGGUGCAGUGGCUCACGCCUGUAAUCCAAACAAUUUGGGAGGCCCAAGCAGGUGGAUCACUUGAAGUCAGGAGUUUGAGACCAGCCUGGUCAACAUGGUGAAACCCCAUCUCUAGUAAAAAUACAAAAAAAAAAUUAGCCGGGCAUGGUGGCGGGCACCAGUAAUCCCAGCUACUGGGGAGGCUGAGGCAGGACAAUUGCUUGAACCUGGGAGGCAGAGGUUGGGAGGUUGCAGUGACCCUAGAUAGCACCAUUGCACUCCAGCCUGGAUGACAGAGCGAGAUUCCAUCUCAAAAAAAAAGAAAGAAAGAAAGAAAGAAUUACAGUUGAUUAGCCACAAAUAAUUUCUAAAAUGUUUUUGCUCACAUCUCUCAUAAAAAUAAAAGAAUAUCCAUGUCCUGUCUUAUUUCUUAUAGCUGCCAGUACACCCCCCAGUUUCCUCUUAUAACUGUUUCAUCCAGAAUCCUUCACAUGGUUACCCUUCACUUUCUCUAUUCCAGUCCAGGUUGCUUAUUUUCUUUUCUCUGGCCUUCUCCCUGUUGCUUUGCUCUUCAUCGUGUAGAUUGAUUUAGUUGUUUUGGCUCAGUCCUUCCUUCUGUCUUCUGUUUCU